GACGAACGCUGGCGGCGUGCUUAACACAUGCAAGUCGAACGAGAAUCUAUGGAAAGAGACUUCGGUCAAUGGACAUAGAAGACAGUGGCGGACUGGUGAGUAACGCGUGAGGAACCUGCCUUUCAGAGGGGGACAACAGCUGGAAACGGCUGCUAAUACCGCAUGAUGUAUUUGGAUCGCAUGGUCUGGAUACCAAAGAUUUAUCGCUGAAAGAUGGCCUCGCGUCUGAUUAGCUAGUUGGUAGGGUAACGGCCUACCAAGGCGACGAUCAGUAGCCGGACUGAGAGGUUGACCGGCCACAUUGGGACUGAGAUACGGCCCAGACUCCUACGGGAGGCAGCAGUGGGGAAUAUUGGGCAAUGGACGCAAGUCUGACCCAGCAACGCCGCGUGAAGGAAGAAGGCUUUCGGGUUGUAAACUUCUUUUAAGGGGGAAGAGUAGAAGACGGUACCCCUUGAAUAAGCCACGGCUAACUACGUGCCAGCCGCCGCCGUAAUAC
rnacentral:rRNA from 1 species